rnacentral:rRNA from 1 species
AUUGAACGCUGGCGGCAUGCUUUACACAUGCAAGUCGAACGGCAGCACGGGCUUCGUCCUGGCGGCGAGUGGCGAACGGGUGAGUAAUACAUCGGAACGUGACCAGUAUAUGGGGAUAGCUCGGCUAAAGCCGGAUUAAUACCGCAUACGACCUGAAGGUGAAAGCGGAGGAUCUUCAGACCUCGCGCGAUUGGAUCUGCCGAUGGCAUAUUAGCUAGUUGGUUGGGUAAAGGCCUACCAAGGCGACGAUCUGUAGCUGGUCUGAGAGGACGACCCGCCACACUGGGACUGAGACACGGCCCAGACUCCUACGGGAGGCAGCAGUGGGGAAUUUUGGACAAUGGGCGAAAGCCUGAUCCAGCAAUGCCGCGUGUGUGAUGAAGGCCUUCGGGUUGUAAAGCACUUUUGGCGGGAACGAAAAGGACUGUGCCAAUACCACGGUUCGAUGACGGUACCCGCAGAAUAAGCACCGGCUAACUACGUG